UCCCUUGCGUGCUCACUUCCAUUCCGCACAGCAGCCUUCCUCGGAAAGAUAAUGUUUGAAAUGUUUGGCUUACGUAUAAAAAGAUUGAUUUUUGAUUUUCCCUUUAUUGAACUUCCAGACGCAGAUGAAUUUGAGGUAGAAGAGCCGAAACCAAAGAGUGUUGUAGCAGGUACCGUGGUAGUAAGAGAUCGUUGGGAGGGAGAAGAUGAAGAGGAGGAAGUGAAGG